UUGAGUGGCGCACGGGUGAGUAACACGUAGCUAAUCUACCUCAAAGCGCGGGAUAACGUGUCGAAAGACAGGCUAAUACCGCAUAAGCUCCCGGGCUGUAGAGGCUUGGGAGAAAAGGCGCAAGUCACUUUGAGAUGAGGCUGCGGCCCAUCAGCUAGUUGGUGCGGUAACGGCGUACCAAGGCGACGACGGGUAGGGGACCUGAGAGGGUGACCCCCCACACUGGGACUGAGACACGGCCUAGACUCCUA
rnacentral:rRNA from 1 species